GUUCACUGCCUGAUAGGCAGCUUAGAAA
rnacentral:other from 1 species